AUACGGAGGGGACUAGCGUUGUUCGGAAUUACUGGGCGUAAAGAGUUCGUAGGCGGACUGAUAAGUAAGAGGUGAAAUCCCAGGGCUCAACCCUGGAACUGCCUUUUAAACUGUCAGUCUAGAGACCGGAAGAGGUUAGGGGAAUACCUAGUGUAGAGGUGAAAUUCGUAGAUAUUAGGUGGAACACCAGUGGCGAAGGCGCCUAACUGGUCCGGUACUGACGCUGAGGAACGAAAGCGUGGGUAGCAAACAGGAUUAGAAACCCUAGUAGUCC
rnacentral:rRNA from 1 species